AAUGUGUGAUUAAAAAUUAUUCAAACUCAUGCAAAUUUGCCGACGUCAAACAAUGUGUUUUCCCAUUAUUUUUUGUCCUUUGAUAAACAUAACGAUACUAAACAGUACGUUUUCCAUCAUGUAAUAAAAUACGAAAAAAAAAAAGGAAAUUAAUAAUCUUGUAGACUAUAAAAUUGAAUUACCCUUGAAAUUAGCGAAAAUAUCGGAAGUUUACGGAGAAGGUGUGAUCCCACCUCACGUGACCUCCUCCCCCUAUAUCCGGACUCUUCGACACUUAUUACACAGAGGAAUCGGAACAAAUUAAACAUCGAUCUUGCGGCAUAUUAUCGAUGAGUAGUAUUAUUUUUGUACACAACGUCAAUAUCACAAUAAUAAUAUUACGUUCACUAUAAAUGUGAUUUCAUUCUUUUUUUUUUUCUGAAAAGAUAAUUUUUUCACAAAAUUCACGAGAAAUACGAAACCGGUGAUUAAUUUAAUAUGUAUAGCUAUUACACGGAAUUACCAUUAUUAUUGCGCUGUCUUCGCCGCCAUCGUAUUUCUAAAACAAAAAAAAAAAAACCUUUGCAUUUUUAAAAGAUCGGAAUAAUCUCUCCGUUUUGUUUUCCUUCGUGCCUACGAUUUUAAUUUUGUUUUUUAUUUUCGUUUAACUCUUAUUGAAAAUUCGCCGUGAGAAAUAAUUGGAGUUUCUCCUGGCAGUGCACGCGCCUAUAAACGUAUUAGGUACGCACUUGGAAUUUGGAUCGUAUACCCAUUAUAUAGUAUAAUCUUACAAAACGAAAAUUCAAUUUGGAAUAUUGUAUUGAUUUAUACGACGGAAAAUCACGGUUUUUUUUUUUUUUUGGGGGAGGGGACUAAAUGUUCAUAAUGACAAUUGGAUACCAACGGCAUUUUAGAUUCUGAGCGGAACGAGGAAUGUACUGGUUUUACAAUGAUGUUUAUUUAUUUUUAUUUGUUUCUGUGGACAAUUUUUCUACCAGUAAUUUGGA